AUUGAACGCUGGCGGCAUGCUUUAUACAUGCAAGUCGAACGGCAGCGCGGGGCAACCUGGCGGCGGGUGGCGAACGGGUGGGUAAUAUAUCGGAACGUACCCAGAAGGGUGGGGUAACGUAGCGAAAGGUACGCUAAUACCGCAUACGAUCUACGCAUGAAAGGAGGGGACAGCAAGGACAUAUGCUAUUGGAGCGGCCGAUAGCUGAUUAGCUAGUUGGUGAGGUAAAGGCUCAGCAAGGGGACGAUCAGUAGCUGGUCUGAGAGGGCGACCGGCCACAGUGGCUCUGACACACGGUCCAGACUCCUACGGGAGGCCGCAGUGGGGACUUUUGGAAAAUGGGCGAAAGCCUGCUCCAGCCAUGCCGCGUGAGUGAAGAAGGCCUUCGGGUUGAAACGCUCUUUUGUCAGGGAAGAAACGGUAGAGGCUAAUAUCCCAUGCUAAGGCCGGUACCUGCAGAAUAAGCACCGGUUAACUCCGU
rnacentral:rRNA from 1 species